rnacentral:snRNA from 1 species
UCUGGAGAAGCGUCCUCAG